rnacentral:rRNA from 1 species
GACGAACGCUGGCGGCGUGCUUAACAGAUGCAAGUCGAACGGAAAGGCCCUGCUUUUGUGGGGUGCUCGAGUGGCGAACGGGUGAGUAACACGUGAGUAACCUGCCCUUGACUUUGGGAUAACUUCAGGAAACUGGGGCUAAUACCGGAUAGGAGCUCCUGCUGCAUGGUGGGGGUUGGAAAGUUUCGGCGGUUGGGGAUGGACUCGCGGCUUAUCAGCUUGUUGGUGGGGUAGUGGCUUACCAAGGCUUUGACGGGUAGCCGGCCUGAGAGGGUGACCGGCCACAUUGGGACUGAGAUACGGCCCAGACUCCUACGGGAGGCAGCAGUGUGGAAUAUUGCACAAUGGGCGGAAGCCUGAUGCAGCAACGCCGCGUGCGGGAUGACGGCCUUCGGGUUGUAAACCGUUUUCGCCUGUGACGAAGCGUGAGUGACGGUAAUGGGUAAAGAAGCACCGGCUAACUACGUG